rnacentral:lncRNA from 1 species
GAGCGCGAGCGCGAGCGCGGAGUGGGCCGGUCCCAGUUGGCGAAAGGGCCGGGUGUAGCUGUAGUUUUUUUAUUAACUGUCUGUGAAAAAAGUAUUUAAUUUAUAUUUUGAGAUAGUCCCGCGCCGCAGAAACCUUUGUGUGUGCCCAGACGCCAGGGCGCGGAUCCUCAGGCCGCACCCGGGAGUCGAGCACACCCCGGGUGACCGCCACUACGGGGUCGGAGCGGGGCGGAGCUCAGCUCACAGAUUCUUUGCCAGUGCGGAGGCUGCGGGCGCCCGCUCAGGAGUGCAGAUUUUAGAGAAUGCAAGUCAGCGUUUCAAGUGUAGAAGUGCGGGAUCAUUUCUAUAGACAAGAGUUCAGGGAAGUGUACUAGAAUGUUAGGGGGUUUUUUGGUUUUUUUUUGAGACGGAGUUUCGCUCUUGUCACCCAGGCUGGAGUACAAUGGCGCGAUCUUGGCUCACUGCAACCUCCGCUUCCCGGGUUCAAGCGAUUCUCCUGCCUCAGCCUCCUGAGUAAUUGAGAUUCCAGGCGCCCGCCACCACACCUGGCUAAUUUUUGUGUUAGUAGAGACGGGGGUUUCACCAUGUUGGUCAGGCUAGUCUCGAACCCGUGACCUCAGGUGAUCCACCCACGUUGGCCUCCCAAAGUGCUGGGAUUACAAGUGUGAGCCACCGCACCCGGCCAAAUGUUAGUAUUUUUAUGUAAGGCUUAGUGUAUAGUUACAAUGAUUUGGUUAGUUCAGGGUGUCUCUCUGGGGGAGGUAUGUUUAUUAUUUCGUAUUAAAGAGGUGCGUGUCUUGGUGUUUGUGUUUGGGGUGUCGUCUGGUCUGAGCUAGGUACAGGACGACAAAGGAGGGAGUUAUUGCAAUAAAGAUUAGUGAUGGAAGGGAGGAGGCCUGGCUCUGGUCUUUUUUCAGUCGUUUAUGAAAUAAAAACAGAUGGGCGCGGUGUCUCACGCCUUUAAUCCCGGCACUUAUAGGAGGCCGAGGCGGGCAGAUCACGAGGUCAGGAGUUCAAGACCAGCCUGGCCAACAUAGUGAAACCGCGUCUCUACUAAAAAUACAAAAAUUAGCUGCGCGUGGUGGCGCACAUCUGUAACCUUAGCUGCUCUGGAGGCUGAGGCAGGAGAAUCUCUUGAACCCGGG